GUCUUUUAGAUAAUAAUUUAAAGUCCAAUCUGCCCAAUGAAUUUUUAAUGGCCGCGGUAUAUUGACCGUGCAAAGGUAGCGUAAUAAAUAGUUUUUUAAAUGAAAACCUGUAUGAAGGAUUAAACGAGAAUUAGACUGUCUCUUUACUGAAAAUAAAACUUUAUUUUUAAGUAAAAAAGCUUAAAUUUUUUAAAAAGACGAGAAGACCCUAUAGAUUUUUAUAUUUUUAUUGAUUUUGUUAAGUUAGAAUUUAUUAAUUUUUCAAUAAAUUAUUUGGUUGGGGUGAUCAGAAUAUUUAAUAAACUAUUUUGCUUAAAAACAUAAAUUUAUGAAUUAAUGAUCCAAUAUUUUUGAUUAAAAGAUUAAAUUACCUUAGGGAUAACAGCGUUAUUUUUUCUGAAAGUUCUUAUUGAUGAAAAAGUUUGCGACCUCGAUGUUGGAUUAAAAUUAAUUUUUAAUGCAGAAGUUAAAUAAUUAAGUCUGUUCGACUUUUAAAAUUUUUCGACUUUUAAAAUUUUUUAAUGCAGAAGUUAAAUAAUUAAGUCUGUUCGACUUUUAAAAUUUUUCGACUUUUAAAAUUUU
rnacentral:rRNA from 1 species